rnacentral:rRNA from 1 species
AACGAACGCGGGCGGCAGGCUUAACACAUGCAAGUCGAACGCCCCGCAAGGGGAGUGGCAGACGGGUGAGUAACGCGUGGGAAUCUACCCAGUUCUACGGAACAACUGAGGGAAACUUCAGCUAAUACCGUAUACGCCCUACGGGGGAAAGAUUUAUCGGAAUUGGAUGAGCCCGCGUAAGAUUAGCUAGUUGGUGGGGUAAAGGCCUACCAAGGCGACGAUCUUUAGCUGGUCUGAGAGGAUGAUCAGCCACACUGGGACUGAGACACGGCCCAGACUCCGACGGGAGGCAGCAGUGGGUAAGGUUGGUCAUUGCGCGCAAGCCUGAUCCAGCCACGCCGCGUGAGUGAUGAAGGCCUUAGGGUUGUAGAGCUCAUUCAGUGAGCACGAUAAUGACGGUACCAACAGAAGAAGGCCCGGCCAACUUCGUGCCAGCCGCCGCCGUAACAC